rnacentral:rRNA from 1 species
UACGUAGGGGGCAAGCGUUGUCCGGAAUCAUUGGGCGUAAAGCGCGCGUAGGCGGCCCGGUAAGUCCGCUGUAAAAGUCCAGGGCUCAACCCUGGAAAGCCGGUGGAUACUGUCGGGCUAGAGUCCGGAAGAGGCGAGUGGAAUUCCUGGUGUAGCGGUGAAAUGCGCAGAUAUCAGGAAGAACACCCGUGGCGAAAGCGGCUCUCUGGAACGGUACUGACGCUGAGACGCGAAAGCGUGGGGAGCGAACAGG